AACGAACGCUGGCGGCAGGCCUAACACAUGCAAGUCGAGCGCCCAGCAAUGGGAGCGACGGACGGGUGAGUAACGCGUGGGAAUUUUUCCUGGAGUACGGAACAACCGAGGGAAACUUCGGCAAAUACCGUAUGAUAUCGAGAGAUCAAAGAUUUAUCGCUCUGGGGUGAGCCCGCGUCAGAUUAGGUAGUUGGUGGGGUAACGGCCUACCAAGCCUGCGAUCUGUAGCUGGUCUGAGAGGACGAUCAGCCACACUGGGACUGAGACACGGCCCAGACUCCUACGGGAGGCAGCAGUGGGGAAUCUUGCGCAAUGGGCGAAAGCCUGACGCAGCCAUGCCGCGUGAGUGAAGAAGGUCUUAGGAUUGUAAAGCUCUUUCGCUCGUGACGAUGAUGACGGUAACGAGAGAAGAAGCCCCGGCUAACUUCGUGCCAGCCGCCGCGGUAACAC
rnacentral:rRNA from 1 species